GACGAACGCUGGCGGCGUGCUUAACACAUGCAAGUCGAACGAUGAAGCCGGAGCUUGCUCUGGUGAAUUAGUGGCGAACGGGUGAGUAACACGUGAGUAACCUGCCCUUGACUCUGGGAUAACUGCUAGAAAUGGUAGCUAAUACCGGAUACGACCCUCGGAGGCAUCUUCAGGGGGUGGAAAGAAUUUCUGUCAAGGAUGGACUCGCGGCCUAUCAGCUAGUUGGUGAGGUAAUGGCUCACCAAGGCGACGACGGGUAGCCGGCCUGAGAGGGUGAACGGCCACACGGGGACUGAGACACGGCCCAGGCUCCUACGGGAGGCAGCAGGGGAGAAUAUUGCACAAUGGGCGAGAGCCUGAUGCAGCAACGCCGCGUGAGGGAUGACGGCCUUCGGGUUGUAAACCUCUCUUAGUAGGGAAGAAGCGAAAGUGACGGUACCUGCAGAAAAAGCACCGGCUAACUACGUGCCAGCAGCCGCCGUAA
rnacentral:rRNA from 1 species